UAGGAAAGUCAUAAAUAUAUAAAUUAUAUUGUAUAAUUAUAUAUAUUAUUCAUUAUAUAUAUUAUUAAUUGUUUAAUAAAAAAAAUAUAUAACAGGAUAAUUAUUAUUAUUAUAUACAAUAUUAAUAAAGUAAUUAGUAUAAAUACACCUAUAGUAUCCGUCCUAUUUAUUAAUAAUAAUCAUAAAUUAUCAUAAAUAAUAAUUUACUCGAAGCGGGUGGGACUUUAUAAUUAUUUUUAAUAGAUUAUUAUAAAUAUUAUAUUUUAUAUCUUUAUAAAAAUUAAGAUAUAUUUUAUAAUAUAUUAAUCUUAUUUAUAGUUAUAUAUAAAAGAUAUAUAAAAGUUAUAUUAUUAUACAGAAAUAUGCUUAA
rnacentral:RNase_P_RNA from 1 species